ensembl:lncRNA
CCGACUCCUCUUUAUCAGCAUAAAUUCAGCUUCAAAACAAUUUGGGACUUAAUGUUUGCAUCGUAAUCUCUUAGAUUAUAAAUUGUUUAGUGUGUUAGUGAUGUAAGUGAUAUUAAAGUGCUAUUACAGUGAUUUUAGAAGGAAUUUUCUAUUUUACGCACCCCAAAAAAUAAAUAAAGAAAGAAAUAAAUAAAUAAAUAAAAUGACCUAAACCGACUUCAUCACACCCUCACAAACAAUAGUUCAUAAAGAGUCGGACCAGCCAAAGGACCGACAGGUAAUUUGUCUUCUUGUUUCUUUUUGUUUGUUUGUUUGUUUUGCUUUGCUUUGCUUUGCUUUCUUUGUUAUGUUAAGGCCCUUAGAAUAAAAUGCGCCUCCAAGAAUGAACCCGAAGCGAAGCUUCACAGUUAUUCAUGUGGAAUAAAUCAUACGGAGGAUUUAUUUGUAUGUCGCGUCGCAAAAAAAAAAAAGAAGAAGAAGAAGAAGAAGAAGAAGAAGAAGAAGAAGAAAAGUUGUCCAAAAACCGUCGGUCACUUUCCUGAAAUUGUGAGUAUCCAUUUGUGCAUAAUGAAGCUGCGGAGAAUGGAGCACUGGAGAACUGGUGAGCGUCUGAUGGAAGAGGAAAAGGAAGAGCGGAAUGAUGAGAAGGAGGUGGAGAAGAUGCAGCUUCUCAUAUACAGCUAUGGAGCUAUGGAUGAUUUCAGUAGGGAGAAGUUGAGCAGGAAUGGAGUAUGCAGAUGAUGAUGAUAUGUGUGUGUGUGUGUGUGUGUGUGUAGUCAUUUCUUAUACACAUUUGGACUGGGUGUAUAUGCAUCAGUGGAGUGUCUUUUCAUCGUCUUUCCUUGUUCAAGAGUAUCUAAAGGACUUCAACUUUUCUCUCCCCUAUAGACUACAUUCUUAUUCCACAACUCUGUGCUGAUAUCAGAUACCACGGGGUGACCAGAUUCCGAAUAUAAAGCCAAAGGGACGUCUCUUAACCCCCUUCACUGCACGGUUUUGCCGUACGGAAACGAUUCAUUAAUCUCCGAUUUAACAUUUUGUGUAAUUUUUGACUACAUGAUACUUUCCAUACAGCAACGAUUUACAGACUAACCCCCCCCCCCCCUUUAUAUAUUUGUAUUACUUGAACUAAUUCAAGUAAUAAAAACAGAUGAAAACAUUUUUUUUUUUUUUUAGUCCUUCAUGCUGUAGAGGGUUAAAUGAGCAUUACGGCGUUUCUGUGGCCACCGAAUCUACUAAAAUGUGAAAGCAAAUGUCUUACAGCUGUGAAUUUUAUUACACACACACACACACACACCCACAGAGAGUGAGAGAGAGUGAGAGAGAGAGAGAGAGAGAGAGAGAGAGCGCUCUCAGUUACUUUUCUAAAUUGUCUAUUUUAUGCGUCAAUCCAUUUCCAUCUUCUAUACAAUUUCAAAGCAACUGUAAAUGAAUGUGAAUAGGAAAAUAUUAAACAUUCAGAAUUCUAAAAUAUCUUUCAUGUACACACACACACACACAUACACACACACACAUAUGUAUAUAUAUAUAUAUA